UGGGGAAUUUUGGACAAUGGGCGCAAGCCUGAUCCAGCAAUGCCGCGUGCAGGAUGAAGGCCUUCGGGUUGUAAACUGCUUUUGUACGGAACGAAAAGCUUCUGGUUAAUACCUGGGCGUCAUGACGGUACCGUAAGAAUAAGCACCGGCUAACUACGUGCCAGCAGCCGCGGUAAUACGUAGGGUGCGAGCGUUAAUCGGAAUUACUGGGCGUAAAGCGUGCGCAGGCGGUUAUGUAAGACAGAGGUGAAAUCCCCGGGCUCAACCUGGGAACUGCCUUUGUGACUGACUGGCUAGAGUGCGGCAGAGGGGGAUGGACUUCCGCGUGUAGCAGUGAAAUGCGUAGAUAUGCGGAGGAACACCGAUGGAGAAGGCGAUCCCCUGGGCCUGCACUGACGCUCAUGAACGAAAGCGUGAGGAGCAAGCA
rnacentral:rRNA from 1 species